rnacentral:rRNA from 1 species
UACGUAGGGGGCAAGCGUUGUCCGGAUUUAUUGGGCGUAAAGAGCGUGUAGGCGGUUUGGUAGGUCCGCUGUGAAAACUCGAGGCUCAACCUCGAGACGCCGAUGGAAACCAUGUGGCUAGAGUCCGGAAGAGGAGAGUGGAAUUCCUGGUGUAGCGGUGAAAUGCGCAGAUAUCAGGAAGAACACCCGUGGCGAAGGCGGUUCUCUGGGCCUGUACUGACGCUGAGGAGCGAAAGCGUGGGGAGCGAACAGG